rnacentral:rRNA from 1 species
AACGUACGCUGGCGGCACGCUUAACACAUGCAAGUCGAACGAAGUAGCAAUACUUAGUGGCAGACGGGUGAGUAACAUGUGGGUAUCUGCCCUUUGGCCUGGAAUAACACGGGGAAACUUGUGCUAAUACCGGAUAAGUCUUUACGGAGAAAGCUUUAUGCACCAUUGGAUGAGCCCGCACUUGAUUAGUUUGUUGGUGGGGUAAUGGCCUACCAAGACUGUGAUCAAUAGCUGAUUUGAGAGGAUGAUCAGCCACAUUGGGACUGAGACACGGCCCAAACUCCUACGGGAGGCAGCAGUGGGGAAUCUUGCACAAUGGAGGAAACUCUGAUGCAGCGAUGCCGCGUGAGUGAAGAAGGCCCUUGGGUUGUAAAGCUCUUUCGUCGGGGAAGAAAAUGACUGUACCCGAAUAAGAAGGUCCGGCUAACUUCGUGCCAGCAGCCGCGGUAAUACGAAGGGACCUAGCGUAGUUCGGAAUUACUGGGCUUAAAGAGUUCGUAGGUGGUUGAAAAAGUUAGUGGUGAAAUCCCAGAGCUUAACUCUGGAACUGCCAUUAAAACUUUUCAGCUAGAGUAUGAUAGAGGAAAGCAGAAUUUCUAGUGUAGAGGUGAAAUUCGUAGAUAUUAGAAAGAAUACCAAUUGCGAAGGCAGCUUUCUGGAUCAUUACUGACACUGAGGAACGAAAGCAUGGGUAGCGAAGAGGAUUAGAUACCCUCGUAGUCCAUGCCGUAAACGAUGUGUGUUAGACGUUGGAAAUUUAUUUUCAGUGUCGCAGCGAAAGCGAUAAACACACCGCCUGGGGAGUACGACCGCAAGGUUAAAACUCAAAUGAAUUGACGGGGACCCGCACAAGUAGUGGAGCAUGUGGUUUAAUUCGAAGAUACGCGCAGAACCUUACCAACACUUGACAUGUUCGUCGCGACUCUAAGAGAUUAGAGUUUUCGGUUCGGCCGGACGAAACACAGGUGCUGCAUGGCUGUCGUCAGCUCGUGUCGUGAGAUGUUGGGUUAAGUCCCGCAACGAGCGCAACCCUCACUUUUAGUUGCCAUCAUUAAGUUGGGCACUCUGAAAGAACUGCCAGUGAUAAGCUGGAGGAAGGUGGGGAUGACGUCAAGUCCUCAUGGCCCUUACGUGUUGGGCUACACACGUGCUACAAUGGUAUCUACAACAGGAAGCAAGACUGCGAGGUCAAGCAAAUCCUUAAAAGAUACCUCAGUUCGGAUUGCACUCUGCAACUCGAGUGCAUGAAGCUGGAAUUACUAGUAAUCGUGGAUCAGCGUGCCACGGUGAAUGCGUUCCCGGGUCU